rnacentral:rRNA from 1 species
UACGUAGGGCGCAAGCGUUGUCCGGAAUUAUUGGGCGUAAAGAGCUCGUAGGUGGCUUGUCACGUCGGGUGUGAAAGCUUGGGGCUUAACUCCAGGUCUGCAUUCGAUACGGGCUGGCUAGAGGUAGGUAGGGGAGAACGGAAUUCCUGGUGUAGCGGUGAAAUGCGCAGAUAUCAGGAGGAACACCGGUGGCGAAGGCGGUUCUCUGGGCCUUACCUGACGCUGAGGAGCGGAAGCGUGGGGAGCGAACAGG